UAGCAUAUCAAUAAGCGGAGGAAAAGAAACCAACAGGGAUUGCCCUAGUAACGGCGAGUGAAGCGGCAACAGCUCAAAUUUGAAAUCUGGCUACAUCCCGUAGUCCGAGUUGUAAUUUGUAGAGGAUGCUUUUGGUGAGGUGCCUUCCGAGUUCCCUGGAACGGGACGCCAUAGAGGGUGAGAGCCCCGUACGGUUGGAUACCAAACCUCUGUAUAGCUCCUUCAACGAGUCGAGUAGUUUGGGAAUGCUGCUCUAAAUGGGAGGUAUAUCUCUUCUAAAGCUAAAUAUAGGCUAGAGACCGAUAGCGCACAAGUAGAGUGAUCGAAAGAUGAAAAGCACUUUGAAAAGAGAGUUAAACAGCACGUGAAAUUGUUGAAAGGGAAGCGCCUAUGACCAGACUUGUUUCUGGCAGUUUCGUUAGCCCUCGGGCUGAUUUACUCUGUCCAGUACAGGCCAGCAUCAGUUUGCUGUCGGGGAGAAAGGCUCUGGGAACGUAGCUCCCCCCUUCUGGGGGGGAGUGUUAUAGCCCUCUGCAUAAUACCCUUUGGCAGACUGAGGACCGCGCUUCGGCAAGGAUGCUGGCGUAAUGGUCAUCAGCGACCCGUCUUGAAACACGGACCAAGGAGUCAACCUUAUGUGCGAGUGUUUGGGUGUAAAACCCCAGCGCGUAAUGAAAGUGAACGUAGGUGAGAGCUUCGGCGCAUCAUCGACCGAUUCUGAUGUUUUCGGAUGGAUUUGAGUAAGAGCACACAGGGUUGGACCCGAAAGAAGGUGAACUAUGCUUGUAUAGGGUGAAGCCAGAGGAAACUCUGGUGGAGGCUCGCAGCGGUUCUGACGUGCAAAUCGAUCGUCAAAUAUGAGCAUGGGGGGCGAAAGACUAAUCGAACCUUCUAGUAGCUGGUUCCAGC
rnacentral:rRNA from 1 species